UUUUCGAAGGGAAAAUAACUUCAACUUUUCUGAAACUUCAGAUAAAUUACUCUAUUCUGUAAAAAAUUCGUUAAUUCUAAACAUCAAUUUUAAUAGCG
ensembl:ncRNA R04F11.26 ncRNA